rnacentral:rRNA from 1 species
UACGGAGGGAGCUAGCGUUGUUCGGAAUUACUGGGCGUAAAGCGCACGUAGGCGGCUUUGUAAGUUAGAGGUGAAAGCCCGGGGCUCAACUCCGGAAUUGCCUUUAAGACUGCAUCGCUUGAAUCCAGGAGAGGUGAGUGGAAUUCCGAGUGUAGAGGUGAAAUUCGUAGAUAUUCGGAAGAACACCAGUGGCGAAGGCGGCUCACUGGACUGGUAUUGACGCUGAGGUGCGAAAGCGUGGGGAGCAAACAGG